rnacentral:rRNA from 1 species
UACGUAGGGGGCUAGCGUUGUCCGGAAUCAUUGGGCGUAAAGCGCGCGUAGGCGGUCCGGUAAGUCCGCUGUGAAAGUCGAGGGCUCAACCCUCGAAUGCCGGUGGAUACUGUCGGGCUUGAGUACGGGAGAGGCGAGUGGAAUUCCGAGUGUAGCAGUGAAAUGUGUAGAUAUUCGGAAGAACACCAGUGGCGAAGGCAGCGAACUGGCGCUCGAUUGACGCUCAGGCACGAAAGCAUGGGGAUCAAACAGG